ACUUUCCUAGACUCUAGUCAUGAACAGGAUGUUGGAAGUCAAAGGUACAGAGAAGCUGCCUUUUUUAGGCCGCUCACAUGAAAGCCAGCCAUCUGGGCAACAAGAAAGGCUUGCUAAAGUUAAAUAAAUUUAACCCCUUAUCUGACCUGGCAAGGACAAAGUACACUGGCUUCUGAAGAAACUUUUUCUUGGGAGCAAGGUAGUUAUUUCAAAGUGCAGAAAAAGGCAAAGGGGCACAGAGAAGCACAGAGAAGGUGCUGCGGGUGGGGGCAGUUGCACAGGUUGUUUAUUCUGUUGAUGGAUAUUGGACUGGAGUGAUGAGUGUUCUAGGAUAGGUAUUUCAUGAUGUCAGGGGACUCAAGUAAUGGCUUUGCCUGAAGAUUACACAGUAAAGCUGCACAUUGAUCACCUCAUCUUAUUAGCUGAUGGAGAUGUUUGAGAGGACAGGAUUGCUGGGCUUUCCAGCCUAUACAGCUCCCAGGAUUUGAUCCUAAGAGCUUGAUCAUUGUCAUUGCCCAUAGGGACCGUGUUAAGAACAGUCAUGGCUUAGUCUACUUAAACACAUCUUAUGAGAGUGUUAGAACAAUUCCCCAUGUCUUUUGAAUUGUUUAGAUAAGGUUAGGACUUUCAGAUCAACUUGAGUUUUAAUUUUUAGCAUUUGUAGAAUUCUAAAAUUAAUCCUGUUUGUUUUUGUCUUCCUCCACUAAAAUUUAAGUUUGCCGAGGUAGGCAGAAUUUUGUUUCUUGAACCACUAUCCCUCCAGCGGCUAGAACAGUGGAACAUGUAGGUGUUCAAUAAAUAUUUUUGAAUAAGUGAAUGAAUGAACAGGUUGAAUAUAAUCAUUAUUUUUUAAUGAACUAUCCUUUCCAGAGACAUACAAGUUGGAUGGCAUUUUCGAUUUCUUUUUGUAAAAAGAAUAUUUUAAAAUUUGAAUGAAUUCUAUUUAACAAAUACACAGAUGAGUACAUAAAAGGGACUUUGAACAUGAAAUCCAUGUUUUCGUGGAUUCGUAUUUUUGCAGCUUAAAUGGUGAAUGAUAAGAUUGUUAGAUGCAAAUAACACUGGAAGUUAAAGACCUUUAAUUGUAACUCUCCCUAAAAUGUUUGUGAGAGCUCAUAAAAUGUUGUUCCCUUUAUUCUAUUAUAAAAGGGCAUUAUAAUACAUAUGAAGUUUUGAAACCA